GCCCGGAUGGUCUAGUGGUAUGAUUCGCGCUUAGUAAGCCUCCCAUUAGUGACCGAUUCGUUUGCUUGCAAUUUACUAACAACAUCUCCAGGGGUUCACCCAAAGCAUUGACUGCGCGAGGUCCCCGGUUCGAUCCCGGGUUCGGGCC